rnacentral:snRNA from 1 species
GUGCUUGCUUCAGCAGCACAUAUACUAAAAUUGGAACGAUAUAGAAAAGAUUAGCAUGGCCUUGCGCAAGGAUGACAUGCAAAUUCGUGAAGCAUUCCAUAUUUUU